rnacentral:rRNA from 1 species
UGGGGGAUAUUGCACAAUGGGCGAAAGCCUGAUGCAGCGACGCCGCGUGGGGGAUGAAGGCCUUCGGGUUGUAAACUUCUUUUGCUCUGAACAAGGCAUGCCUUUGGGGUGUGUUGAGUGUAGGGGUUGAUUAGCGCCGGCUAACUACGUGCCAGCAGCCGCGGUAAUACGUAGGGCGCGAGCGUUGUCCGGAAUUAUUGGGCGUAAAGGGCUUGUAGGUGGCUGGUUGCGUCUGUCGUGAAAGCUCAUGGCUUAACUGUGGGUUUGCGGUGGGUACGGGCUGGCUUGAGUGCAGUAGGGGAGGCUGGAAUGCCUGGUGUAGCGGUGGAAUGCGCAGAUAUCAGGAGGAAUACCGGUGGCGAAGGCGGGUCUCUGGGCUGUUACUGACGCUGAGGAGCGAAAGCGUGGGGAGCGAACAGG